GACGAACGCUGGCGGCGUGCUUAACACAUGCAAGUCGAACGGAAAGGCCCUGCUUUUGUGGGGUGCUCGAGUGGCGAACGGGUGAGUAACACGUGAGUAACCUGCCCUUGACUUUGGGAUAACUUCAGGAAACUGGGGCUAAUACCGGAUAGGAGCUCCUGCUGCAUGGUGGGGGUUGGAAAGGUUCGGCGGUUGGGGAUGGACUCGCGGCUUAUCAGCUUGUUGGUGGGGUAGUGGCUUACCAAGGCUUUGACGGGUAGCCGGCCUGAGCGGGUGACCGGCCCCAUUGGGACUGAGAUGCGGCCCAGAAUCCUACGGGAGGGAACAGUGGGGAAUAGUGCACAAUGGGCGGGAGGCGUGAGCAGCAACGCCGCGUGGGGGGUGACGGCCUUCCGGUUGUAAACCGCUUUCGCCUGGGACGAAGGGUGAGUGACGGUAAUGGGUUAAGAAGCACCGGCUAACUACGUG
rnacentral:rRNA from 1 species